rnacentral:rRNA from 1 species
UGAGUACGAGAUGCUACGGCAUCGAAGCAGUCUAUGUCAUACUUCCAAGAAAAGCUUGCACUGUCAUAAACAAAGAAUGCCUGUACCAUAACCGACACAGGUGGGUAGGUAGAGUAUACUAAGGGGCGCGAGAUAACUCUCUCUAAGGAACUCGGCAAAAUGACUCCGUAACUUCGGGAGAAGGAGUGCCUUAUUUCUAAGGUUGCAAUAACAAGAUCCAAGCAACUGUUUACCAAAAACACAGGUCUCCGCUAAGUCGUAAGACGAUGUAUGGGGGCUGACGCCUGCCCAGUGCCAGAAGGUUAAAGAAGUUGGUUAGCAUUAGCGAAGCUGAUAACUGAAGCCCUGGUGAACGGCGGCCGUAACUAUAACGGUCCUAAGGUAGCGAAAUUCCUUGUCGGGUAAGUUCCGACCCGCACGAAAGGCGUAAUGAUUUGGAUACUGUCUCGGAGAGGGGCUCGGUGAAAUAGACUUGUCUGUGAAGAUGCGGACUACCUGCACCUGGACAGAAAGACCCUAUGAAGCUUUACUGUAACUUGAGAUUGAAAUUGGACUUUAUUUGCGCAGUAUAGGUGGGAGGCGUUGAGAAUAAUCUUGCGGGAUUGUUGGAGCCAUCAGUGAGAUACCACUCUUGUAAUGUUAGAUUUCUAACUUUGUAUCAUUAUCUGGUCAAAGAACAGUUUCAGGCGGGCAGUUUGACUGGGGCGGUCGCCUCCCAAAGGGUAACGGAGGCGCACAAAGGUUUCCUCUGAACGGGUAGAAAUCGUAUCUAGAGUGUAAAGGCAUAAGGAAGCUUGACUGUGAGACCUACAAGUCGAGCAGGGACGAAAGUCGGUCUUAGUGAUCUGACGGUGCUGAGUGGAAAGGCCGUCACUCAACGGAUAAAAGUUACUCUAGGAUAACAGGCUGAUCUCCCCCAAGAGUUCACAUCGACGGGGAGGUUUGGCACCUCGAUGUCGGCUCAUCGCAUCCUGGGGCGGUAGUCCGUCCCAAGGGUUGGGCUGUUCGCCCAUGAAAGCGGUACGCGAGCUGGGUUCAGAACGUCGUGAGACAGUUCGGUCCAUAUCCGGUGUAGGCGUUAGAAUAUUGAGAGGAGCCUUCUCUAGUACGAGAGGACCGAGAAGGACAUACCUCUGGUGUACCAGUUAUCGUGCCAACGGUAAACGCUGGGUAGCUAUGUAUGGAGUGGAUAACCGCUGAAAGCAUCUAAGUGGGAAGCCCACCUCAAGAUAAGUAUUCUC